rnacentral:rRNA from 1 species
UACGUAGGGGCCUAGCGUUGUCCGGAUUUAUUGGGCGUAAAGAGCUCGUAGGCGGUUCGGUAAGUCAGGUGUGAAAUCUCCACGCUCAACGUGGAGGCGCCACCUGAAACUGCCGUGACUCGAGUCCGGUAGGGAGUGUGGAAUUCCCGGUGUGAGCGGUGAAAUGCGCAGAUAUCAGGAAGAACACCUAUGGCGAAGGCAGCACUCUGGGACGGUACUGACGCUGAGACGCGAAAGCGUGGGAGCAAACAGG